CUCUAUGCAUUGCACUGAUUACAGGUUCUUCAGUGGCAAAGGUACAAAAACAUUUGCUGGAAGAAUUAGGAUUGAUGUGGGUAAAUCCAAAAAUUCUGUUAUUCCAUUUGAACCAGGCUGAAGUGAAGGAUGCCAGACUGUUCUUACAGAUCCUUUCUAGAUCUCAAGACAAUCAACAAGUCUUCAUUGGAAACAAUAAAGUCUGCAAUUCAGACUACUAUAGUCCGAGUUGGCUUAAUAAUGGCAAGUUUCAAAAGUGGAGCAGACUUGUUUCUGGAUGGGAGACCAGUCAUUUCUUGCCAUAAGGUGAAAUUAGCUUUAAAACAGAACCCAGCAAAAGAUUCCGAAGCUUUACAAUCAACUUCCAGAGACAGACUCUGCAUUAUCAGUUCAGAGCUCUUCCCUUUGGUCUUUCCUCAGCCCCAAGAGUGUUCUCUAAGAUUCUGGUCUGGUUUUUUUCAGCAGCCUGUAUCCCAGCGUUCAGUUGGGCAAAGGCGUCCUUUAAGAAGUCCUUUAAGCUUCUGGAACAAACAAUCGUACAGCUUGAAUAUACCUAUGUAACUCAACAUUAACGCUCUGAAGAGUUGUUAUUUUUUUCUGUUGGACCUCGUCCCGUUUCCUGCAAUCAGGCUUUUUCUUUCCAGAUGAUGUCGUUCAGAUUUUUACCACUGAUGCUUCAGGUCUCGACUGGGGUUCUCAUAUGUGUGAAAUGAAGAAACAAGGAAUUUGGCUGGGAAAUAUUGACGUUU